CUUCUCUCCCUUCUCUCUCCAAACCCAAACGUUUUCUUCCCCACCGUCCCUCCCUUCUCUCUCUUAACUUUCACAGACGUUCUGUCUCCCUCUCCCUCUCUUUCUUCUUUAUACUUUCCCUUCUUUCUCUUCUCUUUCUUCUUCUCCGCUAUUCUCUCUUCAUUCUUCCUCCGUUUUCCUUUUCUCUCUCUAACACACGUUCUCUCUCUGUUUUUGGUUUUGGUAUUUCUCAGUUUUUCUUCUUUUUGGCUUUGCUGCAAAAUUGAAAGUGGGUCAUUUUUUAUGUUUAUUUGGGGGCUUUCGGGGGUGCAAGAUGCGAAGAAGGCAAAGCUAUAUUCAAGGAUUGGAAAGGAAGUCGUUUCUGCAGAAAGCCAAAGAGCUUUGUGUGCCAAAGGAAAUUCUUGACCGCAAUAUUAAGAAAGGUUCUGAGAAGGGAUAAGAUGCGUACAUUGAGAAAAUCUAAGAGACAGUUGUGGCGGAUAGAAAAGCAAAUUGGUAAACUGCAUGAGAAACCGUUUCCUACUGUCACUGAAAUUCCCUCACUCACAGAAGCCUAAUCCGAGUCUCCAGCAUCAAACCCAGAAACAGAGCGCUGAACCCAUUUCCAUUGGCUUCUCUGGCGUGGUUGAGCACCAAAGCCACCGGUCAGUACUCGGGCCUAGGGCCCACGAUGCCAGAGGUGAAGCCGACGAUGGUGGUGGUGGGUUCCGGGUGGGCCGCUUGCAGGUUCAUGAAGGGCCUCGACACCAAGCUCUACGACCUGGUGUGGCGUCUCCUCGGAACCACAUGGUGUUCACGCCCCUCCUGGCCUCCACCUGCGUGGGCCACAUGUGAUUUGUAGGAUUGUCAAUUAAGGAUGUUAAAAGCUCAGAAGCUAAUUCUUAAUGAUGGCACUGAGGUUCUAUAUGGGCUGUUAGUGUGAUCUAUGGGUGUUGGCCCCUCUCCUCUUGUUAACUCUCUGGAACUUCUAAAAUCUCCAUGUGGAAGUUUUCAAGGUUGCAGAGCGGCAAGGAAAAUAUAUAUCUUAUCUAUUAAAUAGGAUUGGUAAAGCUGGUGGAGGUCAUGCCAAUGGUGCAAAUGGCAUGGAACUGGGAGAUAUAUAUCCAUUUGUUUACAAGCAUCUAGGAGCAUGACAAGCAUUGGCAGAUACAAGGCUCUAGUAGAUAUCUUUGGCAGAGCAAGCUAGGAUUUGUUGGUUGGUGUAUUUGGCACUCAGCAUAUCUGACUGACUUGUGUUAUAAGCUGGAGGAUAGCUGAAAAGUGAUUUUAUCAUCAAAGAUUUUCGCCAAGGAUAUGCGCAUGUGAAAGACUAUAUCCACUUUACUUUUGAUUGAGGUGCUCAGGAAAGAUAGAGUUUGCCUCCCCAAGGAAAUCCUUCUGCAUCUAUAUUGUUUGUUAGGAGUGCUUGUGGGAACCUUUUUAGUCUGCACACUUGAUCUACUACUGCCACCAUCACCACUCCCCCUGGCCCCCAAAUUGCCUCAGCCGAAAACAAGAAAGGAAACUUUUCAGUUGCUCCUAUUUUGACAACAUUGCUCCAAAGGGAAAAUUUAUUGGAUUUAGGCGGAAACUGACCAUCCUCAGACCAAACUUAAACCAGCAAUCAACCUUGUAGGGCCUGUUGAUAAGAUAUUCUUGAUAUCUAUUGAGGGAUUUGAACCAUUCAAUGAACCAUCCUUGGAGGAUUGCUUCACAUCAAGAGUAAGUGAUCUCCGAUUGUUUUCUUAAUGCUUGCCUUGAUUCCACUGCUACCUUGUUGCUGCUGCUCUUACUAGCUGAUGCUUGCUAAGCAAGUCCAGUUUCCGUUUAACAGAGUUAUGAUGCAACAACACACUUUAAGAACUAUCACGGAUCAUGGAUGUACUCAACAUGUAUAUACACCAUGAUAACUGGAAAGGUUCGUUAAUUACCUCAGUGUGGAUUUAAGUGCUGUCAAUUCUGCAGAAGAAUGAGGAGUGAGGAAACCCACUUUUGGUGCUUAAGCUGAUAAUUCUGCGGUUGUUCCAAGUUCCUAUAGUCGUAUAGAUAUGCCACAAUUAUUUCGAUCAUGACAAUUUGAUUCCCGUGCUACAUCAUCUUGAUACUUAUCUUUUUUCUUAUAUAUUGUAAAUUAAUAAAUUAAAUUAUGUCAAUCGAUGAUAAGAUGUGAAAUUACAUUUCUAAUAAACAACAAGAGUCCUAUUUCAUUGUAGGGAAGCUUUUACGUUUAUUAUAUAAUGUGGUAAACAUGUUUUCUUCU